GAUGAACGCUGACAGAAUGCUUAACACAUGCAAGUCAACUUGAACUUCGGUUUGGGUGGCGGACGGGUGAGUAACGCGUAAAGAACUUGCCUCACAGAUAGGGACAACAUUUGGAAACGAAUGCUAAUACCUGAUAUUAUGAUUAUAUGGCAUCGUAUAAUUAUGAAAGCUAUAUGCGCUGUGAGAGAGCUUUGCGUCCCAUUAGCUAGUUGGAGAGGUAACGGCUCACCAAGGCGAUGAUGGGUAGCCGGCCUGAGAGGGUGAUCGGCCACAAGGGGACUGAGACACGGCCCUUACUCCUACGGGAGGCAGCAGUGGGGAAUAUUGGACAAUGGACCAAGAGUCUGAUCCAGCAAUUCUGUGUGCACGAUGAAGUUUUUCGAAAUGUAAAGUGCUUUCAGUUGGGAAGAAAAAAAUGACGGUACCAACAGAAGAAGUGACGGCUAAAUACGUG
rnacentral:rRNA from 1 species